rnacentral:rRNA from 1 species
AGCCACACUGGGACUGAGACACGGCCCAGACUCCUACGGGAGGCAGCAGUAGGGAAUAUUGGACAAUGGGGGAAACCCUGAUCCAGCAAUGCAGCGUGAGUGACGAAGGCCUUAGGGUUGUAAAACUCUUUCAUCGGUGAGGAUAAUGACAGUAGCCGAAGAAGAAGGACCGGCUAAUUCCGUGCCAGCAGCCGCGGUAAUACGGAAGGUCCUAGCGUUGUUCGGAAUUACUGGGCGUAAAGCGCAUGUAGGCGGAACAAAAAGUUAGAAGUGAAAUCCCUGGGCUCAACCUAGGAAUUGCUUUUAAAACUUUUGUUCUGGAAUUCAGGAGAGGAAAAUGGAAUUUCCAGUGUAGAGGUGAAAUUCGUAGAUAUUGGAAGGAACACCAGUGGCGAAGGCGAUUUUCUGGACUGAUAUUGACGCUGAGAUGCGAAGGCAUGGGUAGCAAACGGGAUUAGAUACCCCGGUAGUCCAUGCAGUAAACGAUGGGUGCUAGUCGUCGGACUUUUGUUCGGUGUCGUAGCUAACGCGUUAAGCACCCCGCCUGGGGAGUACGGUCGCAAGAUUAAAACUCAAAUAAAUUGACGGGGACCCGCACAAGCAGUGGAGCAUGUGGUUUAAUUCGACGCAACGCGAAGAACCUUACCAGCGUUUGACAUGGGAAGUGCCGGUUACAGAAUGGUAACCUUCAGUUCGGCUGGCUUCCGCACAGGUGCUGCAUGGCUGUCGUCAGCUCGUGUCGUGAGAUGUUGGGUUAAGUCCCGCAACGAGCGCAACCCUUAUCGUUAGUUACUAACAGUUCGGCUGAGGACUCUAGCGAAACUGCCGGUGAUAAGCCGGAGGAAGGUGGGGGAUGACGUCAAGUCCUCAUGGCCCUUACACGCUGGGCUACACACGUGC